rnacentral:rRNA from 1 species
GAUGAACGCUAGCUACAGGCUUAACACAUGCAAGUCGAGGGACCGGCGCACGGGUGAGUAACACGUAUCCAACCUGCCCUUUACUCGGGGAUAGCCUUUCGAAAGAAAGAUUAAUACCCGAUAUAAAGGAUGGGGAUGCGUUCCAUUAGGUUGUUGGUGAGGUAACGGCUCACCAAGCCUUCGAUGGAUAGGGGUUCUGAGAGGAAGGUCCCCAACAUUGGAAUUGAGCCCAGUCCCAAACUCUAACGGGGGGAGUAAUUGAGGAAUAUUGGUAAAUGGGCGUUAGCUUGAACCACCAAGUUAGGGUGAGGGAUGAAGGUUAUUGGUCGUAAACUUCUUUUAUAUAAGAAUAUGUAUUAUAUGAAUAAGGAUCGGCUAACUCCGUGCCAGCAGCCGCGGUAAUUC